rnacentral:lncRNA from 1 species
AGCUGAUGCCAUGUGGAACAGAGAUGAACUGCCGCUGCCGAGCUCUGCCCACGUUGCAGAAUCAUGAGCAAAUGUGAGUUUUGUGGUUUUAAGCCACGAAGUUUAGAGGUGGUUUGCAAUAGAAUGGAGGGGACUGCUUUUCUUCUGAGUUUCGGAUUGAAUUCUGCUUUACUAUAACUUAUUUAUUAUAUAUUUGUAACAAUUCUGUCUCCACCCAUCAGUAUUCACCCGCCUAAGGGCACAGAGGCACCAGGACUCUGGGAACCUUCCUUGAUGUCUGGAUCUACUGCAGUGACUCUUAGUGCAGCAGUUAAAAGCCAGACUGUCCUAGUGUGAAUCCGGCCUUGGCUAUUCAUUGGCUGGAAGACCUGAGCCAAGCCUGUGCCUCUGUCCGGGCAUCUGGGUAGAUGUCCUAGGAGUCCACUAAGAAGAAAACUGAGGCCAGUGAGAGGCAGAGUUGAGGCAAGGCGCAACUCUAUUCCCCUGCUGGGGAAAGCAGCUCUGCCCCUCGGUCUGCCCUGCUGACCAGGCAUGACACACCACCUCAUCAGCAGGGCCCACGGCACCCAGACCUGGCCUGGAGGGGCUGAGACAGCAUUGCUAGGGGUCAGAUGGUCACAGAAUAAGCAACCUGAGACCUGGAAGGGCAUAAGCAUCUUCCCCUACCUGGAAUCAGAGGCAUAGCUGAGGUCAAACAUCAGGGCAGGAGGGCCUGGAGGGGGUCGGAACCAGAGGUCACCCGGGUGUUUGGUUGGGAGGGGCGUCCAUCUUUAUCUUAUCCAUCACCAUCACCAUUAUUGCUAAACAUACAGUGAGCAUUACUAUGUGCCGAGCACUCAUCUAAGCCCUUUAUACUUCUAAACUUCUAAACUUAUCCUCAUAGCCACUUUUGGACACCAGUACAUUAUUGUCUCCACAUCAUAGCUGAGGACUCAAGGGACAGAGGGGUUUUGUAACCUGCUGAAGAACAUGCAGCAGCUGCAUAGCAUAGCCAGGAUUUGAACCCUGGCAGCCUGGAUCCAGAGCCUGCUUAGGACCACUCAGUGACACUAUUGAGGAUUUCAGCCACCUUCUCCAUAACACUAUAGUCUUGCUUUUACCCUACUCCCUCAAACAUCUUUUUACCAGGUCAACAUUAGCUUAAAAACUGAGACACUUUUCUUAUUGAAGCACAUGCUCCAAGUACACCCUCUCUGCUCCCCAAUUAGACCAUCAUUCCUGCCUUCCCUCCGUCUUAUCUCUUCUAAAUCCUUACACCGAGUGCCACCUCCUCCAUGAAGAUUUCCUG